GGCCGCGUAGCUCAAUUGGAUAGAGUACCUGAUUACGGCUCAGGAGGUUGGGGGUUCGACUCCUCCCGCGGUCA
rnacentral:tRNA from 1 species